UCGAGAGUUGAUUGAGAGACCGUGAACCUGUAAACGGAUAAUACCGUGUCGGGCGGGCGUUAUGCCCGCCCAACUCGGGCCUAGCAUCGUGUCCGUGGCCGCCUCCGAGCGUUUCGGGCACGAUUUACAGGGGACGAACGAAACCCCGGCACGGCCUGUGCCAAGGAACAUAUGUCAGGACGGACGUGCGUCAAUGCCUCAGUGGUGGGGCGACGUUCGCUCUCUAUU
rnacentral:misc_RNA from 1 species